UCAUCUUCUGAAUCUCACCGGUAUCAACUUGCUUCCUCGCAGGACCCAACUCAACUCCUCUCACACGCGUUGCAAAGUUUAGUGAACUUAAAGUCUCACUCACAUCGUGCUCAGAAGGACUGAUUUGCACAAACAUCAGCGUCUUGGAGUCACCUCCUGCAUCAUUUGCACAUUCACACAAGUUUUUAAGCUCAGUGUAACCACAGAUUGAUCCUUAUGAAAAGACAGUAUUAUUAAGCUCAUAACAGAGACGGAGAGAGAUAUAGACUAACCGGUAUGGAAUGUGACUGCUCUUUGUAGCCAAUGCAUAAAUCACAUCCCCAAGAGCUGAUAGCGAUCUAUUGAUGUUCUGUGCUUCCUUCAGACGCUCACCUUGCACGUCAGUCUUUGCCAACCUCUCACUUCCUGCUAAAUCAACAAGCCAAAGCGUGCUUUUUGUGCAGUCACCAUUCAUCAGGUUCUUCGCUUUCACCAUUAUAGAGAGCAUGCUGCGAAGAAAACUUAAUAUAUCAAACAACCCUCAUAGUGAAAUAUAAGAUGAGGGAAAGCCAAACAUUCAAAAAACAUAGUGAGAGGGGGAUAAAUCCAAAUAUACCAGUGCGAGCGGCUACUAUGUUCAUUCACAUUGUUGGAUCCAACAGCUCUUGCAUUGCUCCCAGCUUGAAGCACAUUCCACACUUCAUUUAUAUUUUCCACUUUUGCUUCAACUAACCCAGGAACAUGAUGGGAUCCAUCAAAUGAUUGUUUGAUCUCCAACCUGAGUAACCAUAUCAAUAAAUAUUGCGAUCAAGCUCUGUAAAAAGUCUAUGUUUUAGUUGUGUGUUUAAAGUAGAGAUUUUUACUUCUUUGAAGCUGGUGAUGUUGCCAAUAAGUCUCUUAUCUGUUCGUUGUAGACCUCAAGGACACUAACAGAAAUAUUAUAUGAAAUUGUCUCUC